rnacentral:lncRNA from 1 species
GCAAAGAAGAAUCGGCAAAGAGAGUUCUUUGCCGAGUGAAAAAAAAACACUCGGCAAAGAAGGUUUUUGCCGAGUGUCUAACGUGGCACUCGGCAAAGACCAGUCUUUGCCGAGUGCUGUCCCCUAGCAUUCGACAAAAGGUCGGGUGCUCGACAAAGCACGAGUUUCCUAUAGUGCGUGAUACCAUCACUCUACUAGAAAAAAAAAAAUCAAUAACUAUCUGAGUUGCCAAGCUAAAUUUCCUAUCCGAACCCACACUAACGCACGCACCAGUCCUGGCUAUUCUGUUUUCACACACAGUUCCAGUAGAAAAGUUAAGACCCUGUUUAGAUUGGAGAUGAAAAUUUUUUGGGUGUCACAUCGAAUGUGUCAGAAGGAUGUCGGGAGAGGUUUUUAGAAACUAAUAAAAAAACAAAUUACAUAGCUCAUCAGAAAACUACAAGACAAAUCUAUUAAGCAUAAUUAAUCUAUCAUUAGCACA